UCUCAACCCAUGAUUUUCCCAUUUUUACUCUUCCAGUUCUCCCCCGUCCCACUAGGGGUGAGCUGGUGAGCAGCUGCGUGGGGUGCAGUUGCCAGCUGGGGUUAAACCAUGACAGGGGAGAGGCUACACGGGGAAAGGAACGGAACUUCUAUGUCCAUGCAACUCAUUCAACAAGUCUCAAGCAUCCCUGAAGCCCGUUUUUGUCCCACUGAAGCUUUUGAACUUCCUGCAAGGCCCGUUAUGCCAAAUUGAGAUUGAUGACAAAGUGCAACAUUUUGAAAUUAUUAAAGGGGCUGACCCAUGACCAAAGCACCGGGCCACCAAGCCUCCCAAGAUCCUCUUCUUCCCAGCCACUGUCUGUGGUGACAUCUUGGCAUCAUACAUAGAGAAGCAGUUUACAAGAGGCUCUGUGACUGACCAGAGAUCUCCAACAUGUCCCACUCAUCCUGCUGUCACAUCAUGCCUAUGACCCAGCUGACUGAUGGCUGGCUCAACGCCACACUGCUGAUUCAGCGGGUGCCCUCCCAACGCUGCCUGUACAGCAACUACAGUGAAGACGUAAUGCCUACGGCAAGUAUUCAGCCAGCGGCAGCGCGAACCGAUGUGGUCACUAUUUAAUAUGCAAGGGAAAUUAGUCUCAGCUAAACUCAUUGCACACACCCAUUACAUGAGAGAAGCAUCAAUAUUUCUGUAAACCCACCAGGGAAUUUAUUCACCUCGGCCUCCAGCAAUGGUGAAUUACCCUGGUGACUUUUAAAAUUUGGAAGCACACACAGUCAUAAUGAGAAAGUACCGUGGUUUCCCUCAAAGUAAUAUAGUGGUUAUUGUUGGUAGUUACUGCCUUUGUGAAGUGUUAACACGUGGUUAUAGUGCAGUCAUGUAGCAAAAUUAUAGGGGCCUGACGAAUGUUACUUAGCAACACUUGCUAAUGUUGAGGUGGUAAUGAAGAAAUGGAGUAAAAGAAAUGCAGGGUAUAUUGGAGUCAUAAAAUAAACUGCGGUGAGAAAGUUGUUCUGAAGAUGAAGAUGAUGUCUGUUUCUCUUUUUGCCAUGUGAAUAUGGUAGAAGAGCUUAAAAACUGAUUUGAAGGAACACAUUUUAAAUACCUAAGUAACAGAAACAAGCGUUCUCUUUUUAUUUUUUUUUAAUCACUGCUGCUGCCUGGGAAAAGCAUCAGAAUUUCUGGGCUUUUGAAGAUCCUUUUCCUGUCAUUUCAAGCCCAUCCUGAGGCACUAGCUGGCCAGUUAAAAUAAUCUCGCUUUUGAAAAUCUAGCAUUUGUCAGAAUUAAGAAUGAAGCCUUCUUUCUACUACAUCUAUUUUCCCCAUUCAUUCAUUUACAUAACUCCCUCCACCGUUAAUCAAGUUUCUGUAGGCAUAUCUCAAGAACAGGGUAAGGCCAUAAAAAUAAAGACAGACAUUCCUAGUCAUAGAUGAACCUUCCACAUGUUGCAGGUCUAUCUCAGACAUAUAUCUUGGUUUAUCUCCACCUGUUUAAAUUGGAAAACUCACAAAAAUCCAUCUCCUGUGAGAUUUCCAAGGUUUCUUGAUUUCAUUUGGGUCAGAACUGCCACAAGAGAUGCGUUCCUCAGAGCACUUCUGAGUUGCUGCCAGGAACAGGGAGUGCUGAACUGUGCCACUUAAAAAAAAAAAAGCUUUCUUUGAAAAGUCACCAAAUUUUAUAAGCUCAAAAAAAAAAUUGGCCUAGUUCAGUUUGGGGUAUGAUUAAAAGAGCUGCUCUGAUUUAUUGAUGUUAAACAAAGUAUGUUUGGGUAGAACAUUAUUUUGUAAUGGAAAAAUUGUCAGUGGAAGCACUGCCUAUCAGCUCUGCUUGGACUGGAUGAGGGCUGAGCCUUAAAUUAUGUCUUUAAUAUGGAGAAAAGGAAGACUGUUAAAAAUGUUGUAACGAGAAGGCCAUCUCAGUCUCCCAGAUAAAGGUAGCUGUGAAGUCAACCUCAACAACAUCUGAGGUUCUGCUGAUUAAGUAAUAGAUGGUAUUUGCCUGCUUUGCGCCUCACCCUGGCCCUGCAAAGCAAAUGGGAAGAAGUUUCUCAUUCCUAUCCCACCAGGAGCGCUAAGCCAUGAAUAUGGAGUGGUGGUUUGGCAAAUG